rnacentral:rRNA from 1 species
UGGGGAAUUUUGGACAAUGGGGGAAACCCUGAUCCAGCCAUCCCGCGUGUGCGAUGAAGGCCUUCGGGUUGUAAAGCACUUUUGGCAGGAAAGAAACGUCAUGGGUUAAUACCCCGUGAAACUGACGGUACCUGCAGAAUAAGCACCGGCUAACUACGUGCCAGCAGCCGCGGUAAUACGUAGGGUGCAAGCGUUAAUCGGAAUUACUGGGCGUAAAGCGUGCGCAGGCGGUUCGGAAAGAAAGAUGUGAAAUCCCAGAGCUCAACUUUGGAACUGCAUUUUUAACUACCGGGCUAGAGGGUGUCAGAGGGAGGGUGAAUUCCGCGUGUAGCAGUGAAAUGCGUAGAUAUGCGGAGGAACACCGAUGGCGAAGGCAGCCUCCUGGGAUAACACUGACGCUCAUGCACGAAAGCGUGGGGAGCAAACAGG